rnacentral:rRNA from 1 species
AUUGAACGCUGGCGGCAGGCUUAACACAUGCAAGUCGAGCGGAGCGAGGGUGCUUGCACCUUAGCUUAGCGGCGGACGGGUGAGUAAUGCUUAGGAAUCUGCCUAUUAGUGGGGGACAACAUUCCGAAAGGGAUGCUAAUACCGCAUACGCCCUACGGGGGAAAGCAGGGGAUCUUCGGACCUUGCGCUAAUAGAUGAGCCUAAGUCGGAUUCGCUAGUUGGUGGGGUAAAGGCCUACCAGGGCGACGAUCUGUAGCGGGUCUGAGAGGAUGAUCCGCCACACCGGGACUGAGACCCGUCCCAGAAGCCUACGGGAGGCCGCAGUGGGGAAUAUUGGGCAAUGGGCGGAAGCCUGAUCCAGCCAUGCCGCGUGUGUGAAGAAGGCCUUUUGGUUGUAAAGCACUUUAAGCGAGGAGGAGGCUACUAGUAUUAAUACUACUGGAUAGUGGACGUUACUCGCAGAAUAAGCACCGGCUAACUCUGUGCCAGCCGCCGCGGUAA